rnacentral:rRNA from 1 species
AUUGAACGCUGGCGGCAUGCCUUACACAUGCAAGUCGAACGGUAACGCGGGGCAACCUGGCGACGAGUGGCGAACGGGUGAGUAAUAUAUCGGAACGUGCCCAAUAGUGGGGGAUAGCCCGGCGAAAGCCGGAUUAAUACCGCAUACGACCUGAGGGUGAAAGCGGGGGAUCGCAAGACCUCGCGCUAUUGGAGCGGCCGAUAUCAGAUUAGGUAGUUGGUGGGGUAAAAGCCUACCAAGCCUACGAUCUGUAGCUGGUCUGAGAGGACGACCAGCCACACUGGGACUGAGACACGGCCCAGACUCCUACGGGAGGCAGCAGUGGGGAAUUUUGGACAAUGGGCGCAAGCCUGAUCCAGCCAUGCCGCGUGCGGGAAGAAGGGCCUUCGGGUUGGUUAAACCGACGUUUUGUUCAGGGAAGGAAAUACUUCUGGGUUAAGUACCCUGUGUGGAUGACGGUACCGG